GUAACAUUUUUCUCCAAUUUUUUUUUCUCCACAACAUCAUACCUUGAAAGCAAUGAGACUGGAAGGCUACAUUAUUAUACCCGAUUUUCAGAUUUUUAAUUUCUUCUA